UUUGUCUAAUUCCUGUUUACCUAAAAAUAUGCUAAACAGAUCGUUGUUAGAACCGACAAACAAAGUUUAAUUUAAUUUUACUCUUACCUUUCCUACUUGAAGAAUAGUGGUUGUAAGAGGUCGAUCCAUAGGGAGGCGAUUGGAGUUGCAUAAAAAUUAGAAUGUUCACUCGGAUUUGAAAUCGAUUUUUGAAUGAUAAAAGAAAAACAUUAUGUCGGGGAUAUUGACUGAUUUUCUGUUCUAACAGAGAAUUAUUUUUAAUUGAAAUUAACUAGAAGACAUAUACUUAGAUGUAAAGAGCAUUUAUAUAUUUAAUGAAAAAGAAAGGCUUUGGCAUAAAUUAAAAUGGAUGAAAGCUAAGAAGAUUGAAGCCUGGGACAUAAAUUGCAUGAAAGAAAUUUAAAUAUAUUGCAUUAGAAGAAAAAUUACAGAAUGUGAAAAACAUAAAUUAAGAUUGCAAAUCUAAAGCUCCUAAAAUAAAACUCUCCAGUAAAAUUGCAACAGAAAGAGCUACAAAUAAGACCAUUAAUUAAAAUUAAAAACAACAUUACUCUUAAUUAAACUAAAACUAAAAAAUAAUAAUAA
rnacentral:lncRNA from 1 species